UACGAAGGGGGGCUAGCGUUGCUCGGAAUGACUGGGCGUAAAGGGCGCGUAGGCGGUUCGUACAGUCAGACGUGAAAUUCCCGGGCUCAACCUGGGGGCUGCGUUUGAUACGUACGGGCUUGAGUUCGGAAGAGGGUCGUGGGAAUUCCCAGUGUAGAGGUGAAAUUCGUAGAUAUUGGGAAGAACACCGGUGGCGAAGGCGGCGACCUGGUCCGAUACUGACGCUGAGGCGCGAAAGCGUGGGGAGCAAACAGG
rnacentral:rRNA from 1 species